GACGAACGCUAGCGGUGUGCUUAACACAUGCAAGUCGAACGGAAAGGCCCUGUUUUUUUGGGAAGCUUGAGUGGCGCACGGGUAAGUAACCGGAACGUAUCCUGCCCUUGCCUUUGGGAUAACUUUAGGACACUGGGGCUCAUACCGAUUAGGAGCUCAUGCUGUAUGGUGGGGGUAGGAAAGUUUCGGCGGAUGGGGAUGGACUCGAGGCUUAUCAGCUAGUUGGUGGGGGGGUGGGUUACCAAGGCUUUGACGGGUAGCCGGCCUGAGAGUGUGACCGGCCACAUUGGGACUGAGAUACGGCCCGGACUCCUACGGGAGACAGAAGUGGGGAAUAGUGCACGAUGGGCGGAAGCCUGAUGCAGCAACGCCGCGUGCGGGAUGACGGCCUUCUGGUUGUAAACCGCUUUCGCCGGUGACUAAGCGUGAGUGACGGUAAUGUAUAAAGAAGCACCGGCUAACUACGUG
rnacentral:rRNA from 1 species